rnacentral:rRNA from 4 species
UAUACGACUCUCGGCAAUGGAUAUCUCGGCUCUCGCAUCGAUGAAGAGCGCAGCGAAAUGCGAUACGUGGUGUGAAUUGCAGAAUCCCGCGAACCAUCGAGUCUUUGAACGCAAGUUGCGCCCGAGGCCAACCGGUUGAGGGCACGUCUGCCUGGGCGUCAAGC